UCCCAGCCUGUGACAGUAUUCCCAGCCUGUGACAGCAUUUCCCAGGCUCUGACAGCAUUCCCAGCCUGUGACAGCAUUCCCAGCCUGUGCAGCAUUCCCAGCCUGUGCAGCAUUCCCAGCCUGUGACAGCAUUCCCAGCCUGUGCAGCAUUCCCAGCCCCUCUGCUGCCCCAUGCCAGCAGUGCUGAAGUGAGCAGUGAGGUGGGAUCAGCUGAGCUGGAAUAUCUCUGCAGGAAGAGAAACACUUCUGAAAAGGGACCGACAGGUGACUGUUCUAACGACUUUUUGUCUACAGGAGUCUCCAGGCAGGUCUUGCCAGACCUGAGCACCUUCCUCCCCAGGGACCUGCUCACCUCAUCCCAGAGGUGAAGUGGGAGGGAAAGACCCAGGGCUGGCCCUACACCCCAGCAGCCACCAGUGGGCUAAGGCCCUGUGGACAGGGCAGAGCUCAUCCAGGAGAGAUCCCAAAGAGCCACAGCCAGGGCAGAGCUCAUCCAGGAGAGACCCCAGAGAGCCACAGCCAGGGCAGAGCUCAUCCAGGAGAGACCCCAGAGAGCCACAGCCAGAGCAGGGCUCAUCCAGGAGAGACCCCAGAGAGCCACAGCUAGAGCAGGGCUCAUCCAGGAGAGAUCCCAAGGAGCCACAGCCAGGGCAGAGCUCGUGGCAGUUGCAGCCAUCCCAGGCAGUGGGACCACAUCCAGCCUGAGACCUGCCACCCUGGACACUGGGAUCCACAUCCAUCCAUGGCACUGGGAUCACAGUCACCCUGGACAAGGGGAUCCAGCCCACCCUGGGCACUCUGAGGGUCUCUGUGUGCUGACAUGGGAGCACAAACUCAGGGUCCAGGCUCCAGGGUGGGCUGUGCACUUGUGAGGAGGAGGGGGAAGGGAAGCUCUCACUGACAAACGUGGCCCCAGCUGUGCAAGGAGACACUGAGCUGCUGCUGGGGACAACAUCUGGUACCUGCUGACCUUUCCCAAGCUGUGCCUCCCACCCUGGCAAAUCACUCUCUCUGUGCUGCCAAAACAGCCAUCAAUUAAAAAUGCAUUACCACAGCUCCCUAAAGCAAAGCCAAAAAUUGCUGCUUAUUCAUUCUGCAGACACUCAAAGCGUGUUUACAGAG